rnacentral:rRNA from 1 species
UACGUAGGUGGCAAGCGUUGUCCGGAUUUACUGGGCGUAAAGAGCGCGCAGGCGGUCGUUCAAGUCGCGUGUGAAAGCCCCCGGCUCAACUGGGGAGGGUCACGCGAUACUGAUUGACUCGAAGGCAGGAGAGGGAAGUGGAAUUCCCGGUGUAGUGGUGAAAUGUGUAGAUAUCGGGAGGAACACCAGUGGCGAAGGCGACUUCCUGGCCUGUUCUUGACGCUGAGGCGCGAAAGCUAGGGGAGCAAACGGG